AACUCUUGGCCCUCUUCUAGACGCAGAAAUCUUUUGCCUUUUAGCAAUAAGAUUUCCGUGGGAGGGUCAGUCAAUGAAGGUAAACCCAAUUUUUGGAAUGCAUGGCGCAAGCGA
rnacentral:snRNA from 1 species